AGGCACGGCGACAACCCAUUCCCUCAUGCGCCACGCCAUGCCAUGCCCGAAGGCCAGCACACCUGACACCGUGUGCCAUCCUUCGCCGGCCUUUGCUCAAUCUGUCCUUCUUGAUUGAUUUGAUUUUUCCCUUCUAAUCCCCGUCCAAACCACUGGCACAUUCUAGAGCUGAAGAGCGGCUGCUUGGAAGGUUGUACGGGAUCUCUGGUAGAGGGCAGGGCAGGUGGAUCCGGUAGGGUGCAACUAAGAGCGGAGGGGGAUGGGGCAGGACGGAUCCGACGCGGUGGAGCGAGGUGGCAUAGGGAGGUGCGAAGGAGGCUGCUCGCCGCCAGCCCUGCGCGAUCUCGAGCCCUGACAAUCUCUCCCUUUCAGUCCAGGUAUCUAUCUCUCUCAAUCCUCGGAGGUGCCCAGAUUUCUCUUCUUCGUAGAGUUGGAACUAUACAACACGUUAGACACGAAGAUGCUAGUAUGCCUAUAGCUUUGAUGAACCGGACAUGAUUAUGCAUAUGCCCAUUUUUGAGAGGGAGAAAUAUAAUGUACUUGAUGGAUCAGCAAAUGUACCAACAUAAAAAAAAAUGCCCCGGAGCACUGUAUAUAUCACAAUGGGCUCCAACAGCAGUUGUAUAUCAUAUACUUUUUGCAAAAGUACGCUGUCAAGUGUAAAACCAUGCUACAUCGGCUAGAUUAAGAGUGUUUUCAAUAUUGCUAUAAUUUUUUCUCUCAGAGCCACCAAAUUCUACCUACAACAUCAAAGAUUCUAUUAGCCUUUUAGAUUCCUUUGCACCGCAUAUUGUGUUUAGUCCAUUUAGUUAAACCAGGUCAGUGCCACAUGUACGUUAAAGCAUUAAGAAACAGCUACUUGCUUACACCCUUGUAUUCUUAUGUUAUUCCUUUGUAUGCUUGUAUGUGCUUGUGUAAUCUGUAUAGGAGGACCGCAGUUUGAGGAAUUUGACGGUCAAGGCUUUGAAGACUUCGAGCAGCCGAAGCAAGUCCAGGAAGGCAAGUCAUGCCCUUGAUCACAACAUGAUCCUAUGAAACCUUUACUUUUUAUGUUCAAUACACAUAUGCUAUGCACGUUAAGUUUAUAAACAUGAUGGGUCCUAUUUAAGGUGUGCCUAAUUUUAUUCCCUAUACCUUGAUCAACCUGGGUUACUUUAAUGUUGGGUAGCUCUUGCUUAGUUACUCAACUUGGUUAUCGUGGUAUUAAUAAACCAAUGUUUAACCUUAUUUUAUUUAUGCUAUACCUUUAAUUAAUACAAGAUCACCAUGCUUAAUUGGAACAUGGAGAACCACCCGGGAAACAGUGCAACCACUAGAACUAUAUGGCUCUGGUCUUAGCUAAUUAAUUAGACACUCUAGUUUGAAGCGGUCUUACCGAAAGGGCAAGAGGGGCGGCGGCAGAUGGGGUAUAACCCGGCCCUCAGACUAAUCUGCUCUAUGGUAGCUUCGUUGUCUUGAGAGAGCUUUAUGCUCUGCUACUGAUCCCAAAACAAAAGCGGGGUACUUCUUAUUAGAGAAUCUUUGUAAAGAUCUCGCAGCAUCCCUAUGCAAUCACACCUCGGAAGUGUGAUAUUAUGCCUGGUCCGCACAACAUGGUUGGGUCUAAAGUUCUUCUGAAGUAGGUAAAGAUGUAAAAACCUCUGCAGAGUGUAAAACUGAUCGAUCAGCUAUGCUCACAAUCAAGAGCGGCCUGGACUCUCACAUGAUUAAUUUAUCGAAAGUUAAAUUAAAUUGUUGUUAUUUAUUGUUUUUAUCUUUAUUUAUGUUCAUGCUUAAUGUGGGUGGUAUAAACUUAUACUUAGUAAUUACUAAUAAAACUUGACCAACCAAUUAAAAUGAUGCAUUGCUAUUAAACCAUAGCCUAUCCUUGAAUGGCCUUACACUACACAAUCCUCACGCUUACUGAGUACCAACCAUAAGUGUACUCACCCUUGCUAAAACUGCUGCUAGAACAAGUCAACUUUGAGGAGGUUCUUCAAGACUUUGAAGAGUUCUAGGCAUACAUGUUCCCCCAGUCAACUGCCUGUGGAAUCAUCAUCUUCGUUGGAGUUGUGCUGCUAGAAUAAAGACUCUUUUUGCUAUUCGUAUUAAAGACUAUCGGGUCAUGUAAUAAAUGUAUACUCUCUUUACAUUAUGGUACUAUCUAUGGUAUUUACGAAGUCGUUGCAUGUGUGUAAAUUGAUCCUGGCGUACAUGUGAUUCAUUCAUCUAGUUUUGCCUUCAAAAUUGUGUGUGACAGAAGUGGUACCAGAGCCAUGUUACGCCUAGUUAGAAAAUGGUCAAAUUUAAGGAUUAUAAUGCUUUAGUAGCCAUUCGUACUUAAUGCUUGUUUUAAAUUUGCUUUAAUAAGCUUAUCGUUGCUUUUAUCCCAUCCUUAUUGCUCUACUUGAUCCUUUAUCUAAAUUCAAUUUAUUUUAUUUUCUUUAUCUUUCGAUGGCCCGCACCAAG
rnacentral:lncRNA from 1 species